UCAAAGAAGGCCUGCCAGAGGAGGUCGC
rnacentral:piRNA from 1 species